rnacentral:rRNA from 1 species
UACGGGGGGGGCAAGCGUUGUUCGGAAUUACUGGGCGUAAAGGGCUCGUAGGCGGCCAACUAAGUCGGAUGUGAAAUCCCCAGGCUCAACUUGGGAACUGCAUCCGAUACUGGAUGUCUUGAAUUCGGGAGAGGGAUGCAGAAUUCCAGGUGUAGCGGUGAAAUGCGUAGAUAUCUGGAGGAAUACCGGUGGCGAAGGCGGCAUCCUGGACCGACAUUGACGCUGAGGAGCGAAAGCUAGGGGAGCAAACGGG